UCUGCACUAGAUGAGCUAAAGUCAUUUUUCUUCCUGUUCAUAUUCUUCUACAUAUGAUAAGCAGAAAGUUUUGCUUUGAAAGAAGAUUGCAGACUGGUCAAACUGUUUCUUAAAGAGAUACAUGCUGCUUGUAGUCAGGGAGAACGUUACAGUAACUCUAUCCUUCCACUGUGUGUUCCUGUCAGCUCUGUUUACUGACUCACAGCCGUCUGGGGACUACAAACACCCCCGUGACUGAAAACUGCUUUGUCACCAUCUUCUUGUGUCAGUUCACUAAUAGCUGCUGAGCAAAAACAAGAAAGUCCUGAAUGAAGGAUUAAAGUGUGGAGCGAUGCUGUGACUGAUAAUCUCUGGAGUGCGGCAUGUUAUUAACUGGAUAACCUCCUGUUGUUGCUCCAAUGGGAGGGAGGAGACAGUUUCAAGCUGCCAGUGUCAAGGGCAGAAAGUGUGGACGGUCGACCAUGAUGUAAAAUCCUCCCAUCAGACUCUUCCAUAAUGUGUCCUACUGUAUCUCCUGUUACUAGGUCAUUCAUGUUCAUAUCUGCUUCACCUAAACUCUGGGUUGUGCUGUACUUGUACUAAUGAGGACUUGUCUGAAAACUCCUGCUUAAAGAAGCUGGACAAUGUCUGACAGCUCACAAGUACAAAGCACUCACUCUACAGCAACAACAGCAACAACAUCCUGUCACGUGUGGUAAAAAUGGGACUUUGUAAGCCCAAUAUUCUGGCGUACAGACUGAUUAAAGAAUGAUGCGGAUCGU